rnacentral:rRNA from 1 species
AACGUAGGAGACAAGCGUUAUCCGGAUUCAUUGGGCGUAAAGGGCAUGCAGGUGGUGCCUUAAGUUGGAUGUGAAAUCUCCCGGCUUAACUGGGAGGGGUCAUCCAAAACUGGGGCUCUUGAGGGCAGGAGAGGGAAAUGGAAUUCCCGGUGUAGCGGUGGAAUGCGUAGAUAUCGGGGGGAACACCAGUGGCGAAAGCGGUUUCCUGGCCUGCAUCUGACACUGAUAUGCGAAAGCUAGGGGAGCAAACGGGAUUAGAUACCCCGGUAGUCCUAGCUGUAAACGAUGGAUACUAGGUGUUGGUGGUAUCAACCCCACCAGUGCCGUAGUCAACACGUUAAGUAUCCCGCCUGGGGAGUACGACCGCAAGGUUAAA